UAAGGAAUAUUGGGCAAUGGAGGCAACUCUGACCCAGCCAUGCCGCGUGCAGGAAGACGGCCCUAUGGGUUGUAAACUGCUUUUAAUAGGGAUUAAAGUCGACUACGUGUAGUUGUUUGCAAGUACCUAUAGAAUAAGCAUCGGCUAACUCCGUGCCAGCAGCCGCGGUAAUACGGAGGAUGCAAGCGUUAUCCGGAUUUAUUGGGUUUAAAGGGUGCGCAGGCGGACUAAUAAGUCAGUGGUGAAAUUUACAUGCUUAACAUGUGACGUGCCAUUGAUACUGUUAGACUAGUAUACAAAUGACGUAGCUGGAAUGUGUUAUGUAGCGGUGAAAUGCAUAGAUAUAACACAGAACACCGAUCGUGAAGACAGGUUACGAAUUUGUGAUAGACGCUCAGGCACGAAAGCGUGGGGAUCAAACAGG
rnacentral:rRNA from 2 species